rnacentral:rRNA from 1 species
UACGGGGGGAGCAAGCGUUGUUCGGAUUUACUGGGCGUAAAGGGCGCGUAGGCGGCGCGACAAGUCACUUGUGAAAUCUCUGGGCUCAACCCAGAACGGUCAAGUGAUACUGUCGUGCUAGAGUGCGGAAGGGGCAACUGGAAUUCUUGGUGUAGCGGUGAAAUGCGUAGAUAUCAAGAGGAACACCUGCGGCGAAGGCGGGUUGCUGGGCCGACACUGACGCUGAGGCGCGAAAGCUAGGGGAGCGAACGGG